GGGAGCGACUUGGCUUCGACAGGAGUAAGUCUGCUUAGAUGGCAUGUCGCUUUGGGCAAAGCGUAAAAAGCCCAAAUAAAAUUAAACGCAAACAACGUUAAAUUUGCUCCUGCUUACGCUAAAGUUGCGUAAGUUCAGUUGAGCCUGAAAUUUAAGUCAUACUAUCUAGCUUAAUUUUCGGUCAUUUUUGAUAGUGUAGCCUUGCGUUUGACAAGCGUUGAGGUGAAAUAAAGUCUUAGCCUUGCUUUUGAGUUUUGGAAGAUGAGCGAAGUAGGGUGAAGUAGUCAUCUUUGCUAAGCAUGUAGAGGUCUUUGUGGGAUUAUUUUUGGACAGGGGUUCGAUUCCCCUCGCUUCCACCA
rnacentral:tmRNA from 1 species